UGUUUAAUGUUCUGUUUUUCUAAAACAUUAUUUUCAUUCUAUUUUGCGCAAAGCUUGCCAAAUCAUUAUUGAUAUUGCAUUUUUAUAUUUACAGGCGCGGUUCUUUAAUGAGGCCAAAAUUGAAGAGUUUAAGGAAUGCUUUAACUUUCAUGCACGCCUGGAUUAUAUUACACGAGAAGGUGAUCUUUCCAUCAUAUUGCGGUCACUUGGAUACAGUCCAACAAGGGAAGAAACAGCCAGCUACUAUGCAAAAUAUGCCACUAAGAGAGUUCUGGAAGUCCUGUCCGGCAGCAUGACGAUCCGGUGGCGGAUCAUGGUGUGAGGCGCGUCUUUCAGCACCAUAUCUUUAGGAUAACUCACCUGCCACAAGGGGUUCGCCUCGUGUCGUCAACAGUGCACUAGGACAUAUUAUACACAGCUGUGUAUUGUGAACAGCUGUGCGUUUUGACACGAUGUGAAAUGUAUCGCAGUGAAGGUUACUUUGUCAAUUAUCUGCCAUGGGUAAUGUAUCAUACAAAAUGUAUUUAAUGCUUAGCCUUGUACUGUACAUGUCUCGAUCGUGUAUAACUACUGUACUACAGCUUCUACUAUUUCUACUGUACAUCUCUUACCGUGUAUGAUGGAAAGACCAAGUCAGAAAAAGAACCAUUCGUAAGUGAUUUCUUUUGUCAUCGCCCUCGACUAUCCGAGGGUGAAUCUUGCGGAGACGAUGAUAUGAUAGUGAUGAUGACACCGGCUAAAUAUCAUAUUUACAAAAGUACUAACGCUAAGUUGUAAUAUAUAAUAUAUACAAUUGUUAUUUUGUUGUGAUGAAGCAUGAACUGAACACUGCGUUCUGUGUGUGUGCGCCUGCGCGCGCGCGUACAUGCGUGUUCUUGCAAUCUGCAUGAAAGCCUUGAGGCGACAUUUGACUAAACUGUGAAGAUUA